AACGCAAGUGGCGCCAUCCUGCUGAGGGGUGGCAUGCUUGUAUGAGGGUUGUGAAACACCAACAGAUGGAGUGAGGCUUUUUCUCUUGUAAGAGGGGGAAUGCCUUGAAGGAUACCUCUGACUACCGCAUUUGAUAACAAUUGGUUAUAACAUUGCUAUGUUUACCAAAAACAAAAAACACAUGUAGGGUAUCAAUGUCAAAAGUUGGUAUCCUAUUUGAGUUUUGUUUUGGGGGAGCGUGGGUAAUGUUUUAACCUAUUUUUUAAAUUGAAUGCAACCUCAUAUCAAGCAAGAUUACCCGCUGAACUUAA
rnacentral:misc_RNA from 1 species